rnacentral:rRNA from 1 species
GAUGAACGCUGGCGGCGUGCCUAACACAUGCAAGUCGAACGGGAACAGGAUGAAACCUAGUGAUUCCUGUUUUAGUGGCGGACGGGUGAGUAACGCGUGGGUAACCUGCCUUGCACUGGGGGAUAACACUUAGAAAUAGGUGCUAAAACCGCAUAAGCGCACAGAGUCGCAUGACUCGGUGUGAAAAACUCCGGUGGUGCAAGAUGGACCCGCGUCUGAUUAGCUUGUUGGCGGGGUAACGGCCCACCAAGGCAACGAUCAGUAGCCGGCCUGAGAGGGUGACCGGCCACAUUGGGACUGAGACACGGCCCAAACUCCUACGGGAGGCAGCAGUGGGGAAUAUUGCACAAUGGGGGAAACCCUGAUGCAGCAACGCCGCGUGAGUGAAGAAGUCAUUCGUGAUGUAAAGCUCUAUCAGCAGGGAAGAAAAUGACGGUACCUGAGUAAGAAGCCCCGGCUAACUACGUGCCAGCAGCCGCGGUAAUACGUAGGGGGCAAGCGUUAUC